UUUUUCUUUUUUUUUUUUUUUUUUUUUUUUGAGGCAGAGUCUCGCUCUGUUGCCCAGGCUGGAGUGCAGUGGCGUGAUCUCAGCUCACUGCAAGCUGUGCCUCCCGGGUUCAUGCCAUUCUCCUGCCUCAGCCUCCUGAGUAGCUGGGACUACAGGUGUCCGCCACCACGCCCAGCUAAUUCUUUGUGUUUUUAGUAGAGACGGGGUUUCACCGUGUUAGCCAGGAUGGUUUCGAUCUCCUGACCUCAUGAUCUGUCCACUUCGGCCUCCCAGUUUAGGUAUUUUCAAUUGCAACCUGAAGUAAUCCAUUUAACAGUUUAUUUAUUUAACUGGUGGCCACAUCUUUGAUUGUCCUCUUGACACACUGAGAACGUGUUCAUUCUUUUUUAAAAAAAAAUAGAGAUAAGGGUCUCCCUCUGCUGACCGGGCUGGUCUCGAACUUCUGGCCUAAGGCAAUCCUCUUGCCUCAGCCUCCCAAAAUACUGCGAUUACAGACCUGAGCCACCAUGCUUGGCCAAAAGUGUUCAUUCAUAUAGAUGCACCCAGCCCCAGCACAGUGUCAGGCCCAGGAUGGCAGGCUUCCUGGAAGAGGUGGGCUUGACCUCAGCCUGUAAAGCUGAGUGGAUUUGGCUGGGCAAGACCACAGGGGAGAGCUUAAAAUAUUAAAAUUGUCAGGGAAAGGAGUCUAGACUUGCUCUGUGUGAGCCACUCCUGUUUAUACUACAGAUGGCCUACCCUCACCCAAAUGACUAUUUUAUACCCUCCCCUGAGUCAAGAUGACCCUAGAGAGUAGGCUUAAUGGACAAUGAGAAAGAGUAUCUUGAUCCAGAGCCACUGGGAUUUUCUUGGGUGUUCCAACAUGCAGGCACUGAUUGGAUCGGAUUUGAAAUACAAUUCUUCCUGGUAAUUUAUGGAAGGAUAUUGACUCAAAUGCAUAAUUGUUUCAAGUAAUCAGAGCACUUUGCAAUUCAUUCAGUUAAGAGCUUAACCUGUCAUGUGAGUUGUUAAAUCACGAUUGCAAAGACUGAGGCUUCAGUAAUGCUCCCGCUGGACCAAGGAUAUCAUGGACAUAACCAAAUACCACUGGGGGAAGGGUGUUCUCUGCUUCUCAUGGUGCGGGUGUGUGCAGAGGCAGCCAGUUGGAAAGAGAUUGUCAGUUGAAAGAGUUCAAGCCUUGAUUAUUUACUAUUGUGUAAUUCAGAGAAAACUAUUAAUUAGCUGAGGUGCUUAGACCUCUAGUCAGUGCCGGCUGUUUCCAAUGCAUGGCUGGUGAUAAAUAAGGGCCUUACUCACCGGCUCUGAAAUCAGGGGUUCGUAAAGCAACUCACUUUGUGCCUGUGUUCAUUGAUUCAUACACAGCACUUGUUCAUUGAUUCAUUCAACAAUAUUUAUGGAGUGCUUUCUUUCAAGGCCUUUGGAAGGGGUGGAUUUCUAAAAUAUUUAACAACUAGAAUGGCCUGGGGAAGAAGCAAUUAGAAUAAGAAGGUGACGGAUCAGAACGGACACUACCUGUAAACGACCAACACACGCUGAUUUGCACAGGUGUGAUCUCAACCCUGGGGCUGAUGAUGCAGUAGUGAGCAUGAACGAC
ensembl:lncRNA